rnacentral:rRNA from 1 species
AUUGAACGCUGGCGGCAGGCCUAACACAUGCAAGUCUAACGGUAACAGAAAGCAGCUUGCUGCUUUGCUGACGAGUGGCGGACGGGUGAGUAAUGUCUGGGAAACUGCCUGAUGGAGGGGGAUAACUACUGGAAACGGUAGCUAAUACCGCAUAACGUCGCAAGACCAAAGAGGGGGACCUUCGGGCCUCUUGCCAUCGGAUGUGCCCAGAUGGGAUUAGCUAGUAGGUGGGGUAAAGGCUCACCUAGGCGACGAUCCCUAGCUGGUCUGAGAGGAUGACCAGCCACACUGGAACUGAGACACGGUCCAGACUCCUACGGGAGGCAGCAGUGGGGAAUAUUGCACAAAGGGCGCAAGCCUGAUGCAGCCAUGCCGCGUGUAUGAAGAAGGCCUUCGGGUUGUAAAGUACUUUCAGCGGGGAGGAAGGGAGUAAAGUUAAUACCUUUGCUCAUUGACGUUACCCGCAGAAGAAGCACCGGCUAACUCCGUG